GCUAUUUCUGGCCUCGGGAAGAAGUUCACUUCAUUUUGGUGAACGGAUGAAAGGAGGGGUAUGAGGAGUUGCGAUGGAGGGGGAUUAGAGGCUUGGUACUAGAAAAAUCUAUGAAACUGUUUUCGGCAUUUUAUACAUUUCACUAUCACAACGAAGCGGAGAAGGAGGAGGAGGAGGGUACCUGAGUGCAUCAAUGCACCAGCAGAAUGCCAACGAGAGCCUACCUCACAGCUCCUGUAGGAGAGUGAAUGAGACAGAGAGCGAAGAGAGAAUGAAGAUACAAUCCUGUCUGUCUCACCUCCCUGUUUGUCUCUCUGCUUACUGAGAGAAAUAACACCUGAUCCAGGAACAGAACAGGGAGCUGUCACACACCGUAGGCUUGGCUUCCGCAUCGCUCAGCUCAGAAGGACAACAACGGACGAUGCUGCUUCUUCACCUGAAUCUCUGUCAUUUUGGAGAGCAGACUGAGAUUCAUCAGAGUUCUCCCAUCACUCGCUGUGGUUCUAUGAUUCUAAGACAAGGCCAGAUAUGAGCCAUUGUAGAAGGAAAUGUCACAUCUGGUCAAAAGUAGUGCACUAUAUAGGGAAUAGGGUGGCAUUUGUAAUGCAGGCUCUGAGGAGUCCACAUCUGACCAGAAUCAUUCUUGACUCCACACUUUUGUGGUCAGAGGGCCUUAUAACAAUACCACCAUUAUAAAACAGUGGAGGAGGGAGAUGGAUACACAGCUCAUAGGUUUUACUAGUACCAAAGAAACCUCUUUGCCAACUAUGACACUAACUACUACACUGGAGAAGGCAAGACAAACAAACGGCGACAGACAAACAAACAAACAAACAAUGCCCUGGUUAUGAACCCCUUGAAUGCUUGGUUUGUAUGAUCUCUACAUUCCAGGGAACGAUGACCCUUUGAAUGUGUUUUUAUUUCUCCUCCACAUGUUGUGAUGAUAUGAUGUCUACAGAAUGCAACAUGUACAUGUGGACACUGGAAUGCACGCACAAUAAUAAUAAAAAAAGAAACCCAUACCUUCUUAACACUUUUUCACCACUACGUCCAGAAGAGGGUUCACCAGACAAUACUAGACGAGUAGGAUAAAGAGAGGAGAAGCUACCAGUGUGCCCACCAAUAGAGUGUGAGAUCCACACAGGAGAGAGGACCAGAUGGAACGCAAGCAAGCGUGACCAUGGCUGUCUUUUAGCCAUCGCAAAGCCAUCAUUUGUCAAUCCCAGAGCGAGCACUUCGGGAUUUUUUUUUUAUAUAUAAAAAGUAUUUUCAUUUUGUUUCAUUUCUUAUAAUUUUUGCCUGAUAUUUUUCUGAAAAGAAGAGCCUUAUUCGGUACAUAUUUUUUACUUGUAUAUGUUUUGAAACGUCCAUAUCAUAACUUUCUUAAUUUCGUUUUGCACAACUGUAUACUAUUGUAUGUACAUAAAUCCAUCGAGAACACUGAUAAUGUAAAUUAUUAAUUUGUGUUUUUAUUAAUUUAUAUUCAUGUGACUUCUGUUUUUAGGUUUUAGGUUUUUGUUUGGUAAAUCUAUUUAUAUUUUAUGGUCUAUUGUUUUCUUAUUUAUUAUCUUACAUUUGAAUAAUUUGCUGGUUGAUUUUUAAAAGCAAUAGCAUGCAUACAAUUAUAUACAGCACAAUGGUGUUAAUGGUGUUUAAAUUCAUGGAUGGGAAUAACUGAAACAUGUUGAUAAACAUCAGCAAUAUGUCAGAGAGAGUUGCAUAAUUACACAUACACACCUAAAUCUCUAUGUUUACACUUACUCACACAGAGACAUACAUGCAAUCAAGCAAACACACACACAUGCAGGAGUGGCUGGAAGCAAUCAUCAUUUCAAAUGUUCUAUGCAAUGAUUCAUUUUGAAACUGGAACAGACAAAAAAACAAAGUUUAAUACCAUAAUGACCAAUGUUACUCACUAGAAUCCAACAACAUUGUGAACUGAAAGACAAAACAGUUAUGAACAUAUUUGUACUUAGCUAAUUAUAUUUAUGGAUCUGAAUAUUUAACUAUUGAAUCUAGACUUUUAUUUUUGUGGCAUGUUUUAUAGUACCCCAUUACUCCCCAUAUGGGGGGACUUGUUGCCAAAGGGUUGACUGUGUAGACUGUCAGUCAUGAAUGUCCACCAUCUUAUUGCUUGAAGCAUGAUUUGCUUGGCUUUGUCCGGCUGUUUGUAUGCUCUCAUUCAGUCCUGGUGUGUGUGGCUUGACCAGGGCCCCACUGUGCCAUGGCGUGUUCAGCUGUCCAGUCCGUGCUGCUAUACAAACCUGUGAUGCGGUUGGUCAGAAAUUCUCAUUGUAAAAUGUCAGUCAGUGUGCGCAUCGGCUGUCAGUGUAUAACCUGAAGGGUGGAGGAUUCAUUUCAGGUAUCUGAUUGGUUGACCAGACUGUCCAACAAAUAGAAUGGUUCCUUAUGUCUCACUGCAUUAGGAAUGGCAUCAUGUAGUAAUAGAUGAUGAGGGAAACAACUUGACAUGCUUUGAAGCCACUAAAAGUUGCAUACAAAGAUAUCAAGGUAUCAUUAGUAGUUGGAGGAACAAAUGUUGGAAUCCUAACAUCCACUUAGUCAUGCAUUGUAUUUUAAGUUGAAGUUAGGAUUCGCCCUUAAAUGAACAGUCUAGAACUCGUCGCAAACUUUAGAACUCAAUCAGUGGACCACUGAACCUUCCAUAGCCAAGGCUAGUCUAGAGGGAAUCUAGAGGAUACCACAGUACUGUCAAUCAGGUCAGAGAAACUCAACAUUCUGCUGAGCCCAAGUCAAUCAUUCAUCCAACCAGGGCAUGUUAUAAUUAAAGCACAGGCCUUACUGGUAUGUAAAGACAGAAAUAUGACACCACUAGGAUAUGUGUUAUUGAUUUCAAGGAGAGCUAAAACAAAUGUGUUAAUAACGGUAAUAAUAUAAAUGAGAGUCUGCAGGGUGGAUCCAAAGAGGGACCUUGGUAUAGAUAGCUGCAUGCUCACCAUCUUUAUGGAGACUUUGUGGUCGAUAAGAGAAGCAUGAGACCAGACAGCCUUCACUGACUGUAGCCGUCCAAAUGGACAGACAGACAGACACACAAACACACAUUCUCACUGUAAAUACAGAUGGAUUCUUCUGUACAGCAUUUGAGUUCAUAGUACGGUCGUCUUGUGGAUUCCCACACCGUACUUGCUGCCAACUUUUGUGCUUUUGUGUAUAAAAUAAUAUUGAUUAUGAUUAAAUAUCAGGAUUAUGAAUAUAAUGAUGAAAUAAGCAUAGUGUACCUGGCUGGCUCGUAUUGACUGUUGGCAACAUUGGAAUAAACUUGUAUUCAGAUACAUAUUUGGUCUGUGUAGAGUUUCUAUACAUAUUGUGUUUGUAAAACAAGGAGAAAUACCUCCAUGGUAAAAGUUUAUCCAGGCAUUCUAUUGUCAUUCUAUCGGGAGGUUUCAAAGUUGAUGAGGAAUUAUCCGUUUUUUAAAAAGAGAUUGAAAGAAGAGGAAAAAGCUAAUUGAAAAUGCAACAAAAAAAAUCCAGAAAAAGUCUAACUCAAGUCAUUCACUGUUGUAAGUGCAAUGGGCGAAACGUCAGUUGUGUAUCCAUUGUGAAACCUUGUGUUCUAUUCAGUGUAUUCCUGUAAACAGAUAGAGUAACAUUUUGGUGCAUCAUGUCAUGUAAUGUGAUUAAUGAAAAUAUUGACCCUGCAAUUUCUUUCCAAUCAGGAAAAUAAUAAAGAGAAAAUCAAAAAUC